CACUUAAGAGUGUAUACCUUUGCAAUUAUAUUUAAUCUCCAUGACAAUGCAGGCUGAAAGAUUUACGGUUAAAUACGUGACCGUACAGAAUUGUUUUAUUUAUCUACCUGAUGCAUGGCAUAGAAGGUUAACCACAAAGUCUGGUAUUGCUAAGGUGACGCAUGAACAUCGAGAUUUUUAUUUCUCAUGGCAUUCUCGGCACAGUGCAGAUGGUUUUCUGAACCUUAGCGCAACAUUUGCAAGGGCCUUGGGCUUCCAGGAAGGAGACGAUAUUCUUGUCUCAUGUGAACUUCAACCUGCCUCCGUUGCCAAUGUUGUUGUUGUUCCCAGAAGCUCUCAAGACUGGGAGAUCGUGGAAUUACAGAGCACCAAAAUACAGGAGUCGUUAUUGAGCCAGAUCAAUAUUGUAGCUGUGAAUCAAGAAAUUGUUGUUUGGGUAUCAAGGUCUUUGUCCAUCGUUUUGAGCGUUGAGUCUCUGGAGCCUAGUUACAAAUAUGGAAGGCUCGAGCAGUUCACAGAGAUAUCAGUUUCGCUACCUAAAAACAAAAAAGAAGGUAAAAGAAACUUUGAAUCGAAAAAUAGUGGGGAAAAAUCUAAGAACAAAGUUUGGGAUUUUUUAAAAAAUCUUGUGCCUGAGCAGCUCUCUGGAUCUCAAAACUUGGAAGCAGAAAAAGUCGAAGAAUCUGUUGAGGAAAUACUGCAGAGAACUUCAAAAAAAUAUUUUGUGCAGACAUUCCGAGUUUUGCCUUUACAAGAAUAUGAAAAUGCUGAUGAGAUGAGCACCGCAGAUUCGCUACUUAGACAACCAUAUAACAUCUUCAUUCAUAGAUGUUUCUUGCCUAGCAAUUUCUCAGUAACUUCAUCAUCUAAGGAAAUAUAUUGCCGAGUGAAGAAGGUCAAACAAAACGUACAAUUCGUUAAAGUAACUAACUCUAAUUUUUUGAGAGAUGAAAACGCAUCCGAGUUCAUUUUAGCUACAGAAAUAGUAGCUAGGUUGUUUGUUCUUGAAGAUCUCUUGAGAAACUGCUCAAAUAAUAUCAAUAAAGAAUACUUUGUUGAUAAUUCUGUCCAUCAAAGUAUCUAUGUAUCGAAGAAUUUGAGGCAUAAUUUGAAAUUGAAAAUUGGAGCUAAAGUAACAUUAGAGCUCAUAAAAUAUUCAGAAGGACCUAUUACCGCGUUGAAAAUUAUCCCUUUGAAAAACUUGGUAUCACAACAGGAUGUAGAGAAAUAUUUUGAAGAACGUUCCAAAUAUAACAAGCUGCUACUUAAUUCAUCGACUGAGCUCAUUCUGUCAAACGAAAAGUCUUGCAGAGUACAAAUACUUCCACUACAAACUCUAUAUGCUCUAAUAGACACCUAUGACUUGAGGAACAUUAUGUUUCACAUAAAUGAUGUUGUACCAAGUUCAGAAAAUCAAAUGGAAAACCUAGAACAACCUGAAGGCAUUACUUCUCUCAAUGUAUCGAUGUGCGGCCUGAAAUCUAUUUUAUCAGACUGCCAGUGUGUCUUAAAAUUGAGCCUGGGAAUAGAUAGGACUUCGGACUCUGAGUAUGACCGGGAGAAUAUAUUGAUAUGUGGUAAAGUAGGAAGCGGAAAGACGACCAUAUGCCAAAUUUUGAGAGAGGCUUUUUCAGAACAUCCAAACUUUGUUUACGUGCAAAUGAUUGAUGCCAAAGCAUUGAAAGGCAAAAAAGUUGAGAUACUACAUAAAACGUUCCUGUCAGCUAUCGUAGAAUGCACCUACUAUCAACCUUCUAUUUUAUUCAUUGACAACUUGGAAAGUAUAGCAGGUAGAGCGUUAGAUGACGAAGAAAAUACUCCAAAUUCAAUUAACACUGCUAGGACGGCUGAUAUGUUGAUAAAAGUCAUAACGGAGUGCCAAAUGGCUCAUUAUGUAUCAGUUGUAGCAACAUGCAAAAACACCAACAAAUUAAAUCGAAAAAUAGUUGCUCCUCGUGGUAUUCACUUCUUUAGGACUAUCCUCUCACUACCUGAGCUUGAAAAGGAGGAUAGAGUGGAUAUUUUAAAACUAGCUUUGAACAAAAAAUUGAAAGUAUCUAACGGUAUUAAUUGGGAUCAUUAUGGCAACAAAACAGAAGGGUGGAUGGCACAGGACUUGAUAAACUUUGCAGAUAAGGCUGCUUUUACGGCAUGGAAACGACAUGUUCAGAGUGGUUCGAAAGUUCCUCUAAUACUCUAUGACGAAGACCUAUCCAAAGGUUUAGAGUCUUCCAUGCCAAUCUCUCUGCAAGGCAUCAACUUGUACUCGGGACCGGGUCACGCAUGGUCAGAUAUAGGGGGAUUGGCAGAAGUGAAGCAAUCACUGAUUGAACUUCUUCAUUGGCCUUUGAAGUAUCAAGAGCUAUUCAAGAACGCACCAAUAAAACAUCAAGGUGGAGUGUUACUGUAUGGAGCACCUGGAACUGGAAAAACUAUGCUUGCUGGGGCUAUCGCCAGGGAAUGUGGGUUAAAUUUUAUCAGCGUCAAGGGCCCGGAGUUGCUUUCGAAAUAUAUCGGAGCUAGUGAAGAGGCGGUGCGCAACGUAUUCGAAAAAGCAAACAGUGCCAAACCCUGUGUAUUAUUCUUUGAUGAGUUUGACAGUCUUGCGCCAAGGCGUGGUCAUGACAGCACUGGCGUAACUGAUCGUGUCGUAAAUCAAUUUCUGGCUCAAUUGGACGGUGUCGAAGGCAGGGAAGGGGUGGCUGUUGUCGCUGCCUCCUCACGACCGGACCUAUUGGACCCAGCGCUUCUUCGUCCAGGUCGUCUGGACAAAUCCUUGUUCUGUCCGUUACCUAAUGAGGAUGAAAGAGAAGAAAUACUAACAGCAUUGUGCAGGUCACAGAAGCUAGAUACCAGCUCUCUUGAUUUCAAAACCUUGGCAGCCCAAACAGAUGGAUUUUCAGGAGCUGAUUUGAAUGCUAUUAUUUCUCAAGGCAAGAUCUGCGCUCUUGAAGAAAAUUUGGCUGAACUAAAAUUGCAAAAUGUGCGUGAGGGGAUGAGGGGAUACUAAUGCGAAUGCGAUGGUGACAUUAGCAAGGCUCGUCUAAUUAACACAGUUUCUAAUCAUUGCUUCGAACAAGCCACUCUGUGUGCCGUGAACUAUCUGAUUCCGUAUUUACCAUCCUCCACCCCUUUCCGUCUUACGAUAUAAUAUCGCUGCUCUGCAAAUUGGAGGAGUCGCGAUGUUCGUAAUACGUGUACCUGUAUAUGUAGUAAACGCGUUGCAAUGUGUCUCUACUUGUAAACCUAUAACUUGGCAAUAAUACUGUUGAUUUACUUGUUCUUGUAUGAUCUAAUUAUUAAAGUUUCUCCUCCAAAUCGCGCAUAAGGCUACAGUCAAUAUAAUGUAAUAUUCAAUUUCAAACUCAAUUGCUUAUAAUGCAAUUGCAUAUGUAAGCGACUUUUUUUUCAAAUGCAAAUAGAUUUUUGCAUUGCAUCGUCUACUGCAGAUUAAACCAAAAAUGUUGAGAAUAAACAAAAAGUAUGCAUGAAAUUUUUUUUCAUAAGACGCUUCUCUCCUCGUCUACAUCUCGCUGCAUAAAAUAACGCUCGACACGUAAUCGGGAAUUCGUCAUAUACGUCAUAUACAUGUGCAACACACAUUUGCACUCUUGGAGCAUGCGGAGGACUACUUUCUAGUAGUUCUUACUACAACCGCUACGUUGCGCUUGGGAUUGACUGUCGACGAAAUUUUCUCACAGCCAAAGACCCAUAAGUAGAAUUUAAGUACUCUCGAGCAACGAACCAAAGCAUACUUACCUGGCGCAGAGGACACCGUGAUCACAAAGGCGGUUCCUCCAAGACGAGGCUCUUCCAUUGCACUACGGUCGAGCUGAACCUUGCGAAUACCCCUAAUAAAGGUGAGAAGAACUCUGGAGUGAUGAAUGCAAACGUAACUCAAAGGCAUUUAAUCGAAGCAUUGGCUUGCACGGGACCUUCUUUGAGUGCUAGUGAAAAGUUCAAAUACGACAAAAUCUACGCGAAGUUUUCAAGGGCCG